rnacentral:rRNA from 1 species
GGCGAACGCUGGCGGCGUGCCUAACACAUGCAAGUUGAGCGACGAACCAGGGCUUGCCCUGGGGCAAAGCAGCGAACGGGUGAGUAACACGUGGGUAACCUACCCCGAUAACCGGGACAACCCGAGGAAACUCGGGCUAAUACCGGAUGUGCUCACUGGACUUCGGUUCAGUGCGUAAAGGAAGCUUCGGCCUCCGUAUCGGGAGGGGCCCGCGGCCCAUUAGUUUGUUGGUGAGGUAACGGCUCACCAAGACCGCGAUGGGUAGCUGGUCUGAGAGGACGAUCAGCCACACUGGGACUGAGACACGGCCCAGACUCCUACGGGAGGCAGCAGUGGGGAAUCUUGCGCAAUGCGCGAAAGCGUGACGCAGCAACGCCGCGUGGGGGAAGAAGGCCUUCGGGUUGUAAACCCCUUUCAGGAGGGACGAAGGUGCGGCGGUGAAUAGCCGUCCGGACUGACGGUACCUCCACAAGAAGCCCCGGCUAACUACGUG